UGGGGAAUAUUGGACAAUGGGGGGAACCCUGAUCCAGCCAUGCCGCGUGUGUGAAGAAGGUCUUCGGAUUGUAAAGCACUUUAAGUUGGGAGGAAGGGCAGUAAGCGAAUACCUUGCUGUUUUGACGUUACCGACAGAAUAAGCACCGGCUAACUCUGUGCCAGCAGCUGCGGUAAUACAGAGGGUGCAAGCGUUAAUCGGAAUUACUGGGCGUAAAGCGCGCGUAGGUGGUUCGUUAAGUUGAAUGUGAAAGCCCCGGGCUCAACCUGGGAACUGCAUCCAAAACUGGCGAGCUAGAGUAGGGCAGAGGGUGGUGGAAUUUCCUGUGUAGCGGUGAAAUGCGUAGAUAUAGGAAAGAACACCAGUAGCGAAGGCGACCACCUGGGCUCAUACUGACACUGAGGUGCGAAAGCGUGGGGAGCAAACAGG
rnacentral:rRNA from 1 species